rnacentral:rRNA from 1 species
GGAGUUAGCCGGUGCUUCUUCUGUGAGUGAUGUCCUUCCUGCCGGUUAUUGACCCGCAGGCCUUCUUCCUCACUGAAAGUGAUUUACAACCCGAAGGCCUUCUUCACACACGCGGCAUGGCUGGAUCAGGGUUGCCCCCAUUGUCCAAUAUUCCCCACUGCUGCCUCCCGUAGGAGUCUGGGACGUGUCUCAGUCCCAGUGUGGCUGAUCAUCCUCUCAGACCAGCUACGGAUCGUCGCCUUGGUGAGCCGUUACCUCACCAACCAGCUAAUCCGACAUAGGCUCAUCCGAUAGCGCGAGGCCCGAAGGUCCCCCGCUUUCCCCCGUAGGGCGUAUGCGGUAUUAGCCUGGGUUUCCCCAGGUUAUCCCCCACUACCGGGCAGAUUCCUAUGCAUUACUCACCCGUCCGCCGCUCGCCACCAGGGAGCAAGCUCCCCGUGCUGCCGCUCGACUUGCAUGUGUUAGGCCUGCCGCCACGCGUCAUCUGAGCGAGAUACAACUACUGA